rnacentral:rRNA from 1 species
ACCAACUGGGAUUACCUUAGUAACGGCGAGUGAAGCGGUAAAAGCUCAAAUUUGAAAUCUGGUACUUUCAGUGCCCGAGUUGUAAUUUGUAGAAUUUGUCUUUGAUUAGGUCCUUGUCUAUGUUCCUUGGAACAGGACGUCAUAGAGGGUGAGAAUCCCGUUUGGCGAGGAUACCUUUUCUUUGUAAGACUUUUUCGAAGAGUCGAGUUGUUUGGGAAUGCAGCUCAAAGUGGGUGGUAAAUUCCAUCUAAAGCUAAAUAUUGGCGAGAGACCGAUAGCGAACAAGUACAGUGAUGGAAAGAUGAAAAGAACUUUGAAAAGAGAGUGAAAAAGUACGUGAAAUUGUUGAAAGGGAAGGGCAUUUGAUCAGACAUGGUGUUUUUGCAUGCACUCGCCUCUCGUGGGCUUGGGCCUCUCAAAAAUUUCACUGGGCCAACAUCAAUUCUGGCAGCAGGAUAAAUCAUUAAGAAUGUAGCUACUUCGGUAGUGUUAUAGCUUUUUGGAAUACUGUUAGCCGGGAUUGA